GAUGAAGAACGUAGCGAAAUGCGAUAAGUAAUGUGAAUUGCAGAAUUCAGUGAAUCAUCGAAUCUUUGAACGCAUCUUGCACUCCUUGGUAUUCUGAGGAGCAUGCCUGUUUGAGUGUCAUUAAAUUCUCAACUACACUGACUUUGAAUUGGUGUGGCUUGGAUUUGGGGGGAAAAUUGUUGUGGGCUUUUUGUAUAGUCUGCUCCCCUGAAAUUGAUUAGCGGUACCUUUGUGGAACUGUCUACAGGUGUGAUAAUUAUCUACAUCUUAGACAUCUGCUGGAAUGCUGCUUUCUAAACCUUACUUGUAUUGACAAUCUUGACCUCAAAUCAGGUAGGACUACCCGCUGAACUUAAGCAUAUCAAUAAGCGGAGGA
rnacentral:misc_RNA from 1 species